UCCGGUUUGACACCGGCAGUCUCCUAUGAGUCCCCGACUUGACUCGCUGGCAACAUAGGACAGGGGUUGCGCUCGUUGCGGGACUUAACCCAACACCUCACGACACGAGCUGACGACAACCAUGCACCACCUGUCUCCUCUGUCCCGAAGGAAAGGUACAUCUCUGUACCGGUCAGAGGGAUGUCAAGACCUGGUAAGGUUCUUCGCGUUGCUUCGAAUUAAACCACAUGCUCCACUGCUUGUGCGGGUCCCCGUCAAUUCCUUUGAGUUUUAGCCUCGCGGCCGUACUCCCCAGGCGGGAUGCUUAACGCGUUAGCUUCGCUACCAAACGGGUCGAUACGUCUAGCAGCUAGCAUCCAUCGUUUACGGCGUGGACUAC
rnacentral:misc_RNA from 1 species